AUUUAUUGAGAAAUGUCAAAUAAAUUUAUAGCUAGAAUUAUAUGUGACUAUUUUCACAAAAAUGUUUGUACAAGCAUUAUUUUUGUAAAUAAUUUCAAAAAAGCCAAUAGCUCUAAGUCUAUAAUUCGCUAUUAUCAAGAUUAUCAAUGCAACAAUCUACAAGCUAAAAAUAAACUGAGGGUGCUUAGCCCAUCCACAGCGAUGGUACGCCAGGCUAAAUAAAAUGAGGGUGCUUAACCCAUCCAUGGUGAUAAUACGCUAGGCUAAAUAAAUUGAGAGUGAUUAGCCCAUCUACGACUAUAGUUCACCAGACUAAAUAAACUGAGGGUGCUUAGCCAUCCACGGCGAUUGUCUAUCAAGCUAAAUAAAAUAAAGGGUGCUUAGCCUAUCCACAGUGAUAAUCUGUCAGAUUAAAUAAAAUAAGGAUAUUUAUCCCAUCCACGGUGAUAGUCCACUAGGCUAAAAUAAAUGGUGCUUAGCUCAUCCAAGGUAAUAGUCUACCAGGCUAAAUAAAAUAAAGGUACUUAAGCCAUCUACAAUGAUAGUCCGUCAGGUUAAAAUAAAUGUGCUUACUCUUUCUAAAAUGAUAGCCCACCAAGUAGGCAAAUUAAAGGUGCAAGUCCACUUAAGGAAUAAUAUACUAAACUAAGCAAAUCAAAGGUGCAAAUCCACCUAAGGUGAAAAUUUUACCAUUAUAAAGUUUAUCAAGAUGAUAGUCUGCACUAAAAAAAAAAAA
rnacentral:misc_RNA from 1 species